UGUUAGGAGCCCCACUGUAAGGGUCCAUGAUUUACCGAAGAAUGAUACCCCAGAUGUAAGACCCCCUUUCGGGGACCCCUUUUCUAGUCUCGGGAGUGUGAGAGCACCCAAAGAAACACGAGGACCC
rnacentral:pre_miRNA from 7 species